AACGAACGCUGGCGGCAUGCCUAACACAUGCAAGUCGAACGAGAUCUUCGGGUCUAGUGGCGCACGGGUGCGUAACGCGUGGGAAUCUGCCCUUUGGUUCGGAAUAACAGUUGGAAACGACUGCUAAUACCGGAUGAUGACGAAAGUCCAAAGAUUUAUCGCCAGAGGAUGAGCCCGCGUAGGAUUAGCUAGUUGGUGUGGUAAAGGCGCACCAAGGCGACGAUCCUUAGCUGGUCUGAGAGGAUGAUCAGCCACACUGGGACCGAGACACGGCCCAGACUCCUACGGGAGGCAGCAGUGGGGAAUAUUGGACAAUGGGCGAAAGCCUGAUCCAGCAAUGCCGCGUGAGUGAUGUAGGCCUUAGGGUUGUAAAGCUCUUUUACCCGGGAUGAUAAUGACAGUACCGGGAGAAUAAGCUCCGGCUAACUCCGUGCCAGCCGCCGCGGUAA
rnacentral:rRNA from 1 species